UGGGGAAUAUUGGGCAAUGGGCGAAAGCCUGACCCAGCAACGCCGCGUGAGGGAAGAAGGCCUUCGGGUUGUAAACCUCUGUCCUUGGUGACGAAAAAAAUGACGGUAGCCAAGGAGGAAGCCCCGGCUAACUACGUGCCAGCAGCCGCGGUAAUACGUAGGGGGCGAGCGUUGUCCGGAAUUACUGGGCGUAAAGGGUGCGUAGGCGGCCGAUUAAGUUGGAUGUGAAAUACCCGGGCUUAACCUGGGGGGUGCAUCCAAUACUGGUUGGCUAGAGUGCAGGAGAGGGAAGCGGAAUUCCUAGUGUAGCGGUGAAAUGCGUAGAUAUUAGGAGGAACACCAGUGGCGAAGGCGGCUUUCUGGACUGUAACUGACGCUGAUGCACGAAAGCGUGGGGAGCAAACA
rnacentral:rRNA from 1 species